AGUGAACGCUGGCGGUAGGCCUAACACAUGCAAGUCGAACGGCAGCACAGUAAGAGCUUGCUCUUACGGGUGGCGAGUGGCGGACGGGUGAGGAAUACAUCGGAAUCUACUUUUUCGUGGGGGAUAACGUAGGGAAACUUACGCUACUACCUCAUACGACCUACGGGUGAAAGCAGGGGAUCUUCGUACCUUGCGCGAUUGAAUGAGCCGAUGUCGGAUUAGCUAGUUGGCGGGGUAAAGGCCCACCAAGGCGACGAUCCGUAGCUGGUCUGAGAGGAUGAUCGGCCACACUGGAACUGAGACACGGUCCAGACUCCUACGGGAGGCAGCAGUGGGGAAUAUUGGACAAUGGGCGCAAGCCUGAUCCAGCCAUACCGCGUGGGUGAAGAGGGCCUUCGGGUUGUAAAGCCCUUUUGUUGGGAAAGAAAAGCAGCAGGUUAAUACCCCGCUGUUCUGACGGUACCCAAAGAAUAAGCACCGGCUAACUUCGUG
rnacentral:rRNA from 1 species